CUAACCUCAAAUCAGGUAGGACUACCCGCUGAACUUAA
rnacentral:rRNA from 3 species